GCAGGCUUGCUUUCAGGCUUUUGGUUACCAUCUAGAAAGGAAGCAUCCGAUUGACCUUGCCUUGGACUUCAAGCCCUCUCUGCAGGGGAAUGACAAAAUUCCCCUCCAAAAUUGUACAAUUGGGAAGGAGUCAUUCUCCAAAAUAGAAGUAGCGCGUAAUUAGCAACAGAAGAAGGAAUAAGCGUUGGGCAGAUAAACACAAUGGACAGUCAGCCAUGUGGUCUGAGUCUGGUCUUGGUUGGUCAUCUUUGCUUCAUUAAUAAAAAU
rnacentral:lncRNA from 1 species